rnacentral:rRNA from 1 species
UACGUAGGGUGCGAGCGUUGUCCGGAAUUAUUGGGCGUAAAGGGCUCGUAGGCGGUUUGUCGCGUCGGGAGUGAAAACCCAGGGCUUAACUCUGGGCUUGCUUUCGAUACGGGCAGACUAGAGGUAUGCAGGGGAGAACGGAAUUCCUGGUGUAGCGGUGAAAUGCGCAGAUAAUCAGGAGGAACACCGGUGGCGAAGGCGGUUCUCUGGGCAUUACCUGACGCUGAGGAGCGAAAGUGUGGGGAGCGAACAGG